rnacentral:rRNA from 1 species
AGAGUUUGAUCCUGGCUCAGGAUGAACGCUGGCGGUAUGCCUAACACAUGCAAGUCGAACGGAGUCCCUUCGGGGACUUAGUGGCGGACGGGUGAGUAACACGUGAGAACCUACCUUCAGAAUGGGGACAACAGUUGGAAACGACUGCUAAUACCCAAUGUGCCGAAAGGUGAAAGAUUUAUCGUCUGAAGAUGGGCUCGCGUCUGAUUAGCUAGAUGGUGGGGUAAGAGCCUACCAUGGCAACGAUCAGUAGCUGGUCUGAGAGGAUGAGCAGCCACACUGGGAUUGAGACACGGCCCAGACUCCUACGGGAGGCAGCAGUGGGGAAUUUUCCGCAAUGGGCGAAAGCCUGACGGAGCAAUACCGCGUGAGGGAGGAAGGUCUUUGGAUUGUAAACCUCUUUUAUUAGGGAAGAAGUUCUGACGGUACCUAAUGAAUAAGCAUCGGCUAACUCCGUGCCAGCAGCCGCGGUAAUACGGAGGAUGCGAGCGUUAUCCGGAAUUAUUGGGCGUAAAGCGUCCGUAGGUGGCACUUCAAGUCUGCUGUCAAAGACCGAAGCUCAACUUCGGGCAGGCGGUGGAAACUGAAGAGCUAGAGUAUAGUANGGGUAGAGGGAAUUCCUAGUGUAGCGGUGAAAUGCGUAAAGAUUAGGAAGAACACCAGUGGCGAANGCNCUCUACUGGGCAUAUACUGACACUGAGGGACGAAAGCUAGGGUAGCGAAAGGGAUUAGAUACCCCUGUAGUCCUAGCGGUAAACGAUGGNUCCUCCCCCGUAGUGCCGUAAAAGGGACUGUGUCGAAGCUAACGCGUUAAGUAUCCCGCCUGGGGAGUACGCACGCAAGUGUGAAACUCAAAGGAAUUGACGAGGACCCGCACAAGCGGUGGAGUAUGUGGUUUAAUUUCGAUGCAACGCGAAGAACCUUACCAAGGCUUGACAUCCUGCGAAUCUUGGAGAAAUCUGAGAGUGCCUAAGGGAACGCAGAGACAGGUGGUGCAUGGCUGUCGUCAGCUCGUGUCGUGAGAUGUUGGGUUAAGUCCCGCAACGAGCGCAACCC